rnacentral:lncRNA from 1 species
CUGGAAAGUCCAAGAUCAAACUGCCAGUAGAUUUGGCAUCUCUUUCAUAGAUGGUGCCUUGUUGCUGUGUCCUUACCUGGAAGCAGUAAUGUAAGGACAAAAGAGACACUAGUGUUGCGUUCAGUCUCUUUUAUGAGGGUACUAAUCCCAUUUUUGAGGGCUCUGCCCUCAUGACUUCGUCACCCCCUAAAGCCCCACCUCUUAACACUAUCACAUUGGUGAUCAAUUUCAACAUAAAUAUUGGAGGGACAUAUGCAUUUAAACUGCAGCAUUCCCAUUUAUAGAUGAUAAAACUAGGGCAUUAGAGAGAAAAAAUACGUCAUUGAAGGACAUACUUUUAUGUUAGGGGGUUCAUAUCUAGGCACAUUAAUGCCAGGACUUGAGCAUUUAACCAUUAUACUACCCUGUUUUCCUGAACUCUUCAUUUUGACAGAUGUUCUACAUGCUUAAAAGUGACAUAUUAUCUACAUUUACUAUUGUAAAAUGCUAGUAAGAAAUUUAACUCUAGUGUUAAGUUCUACCCAUAAAAUAAAAUGCUUUAAUACUUUGACCAACGUUAAGAUAUUUUUGUAUUUUUUAAUCUACUCAAUCAGAGACUUCUGUUAAUAGUUUUACACAUAGAACAUAACUAAAGUUAUCUCUACCCCCCUCUCUCAUUUUUCAAAGUGAAAUAGGGAAUUGAUUUAGGCCAAAUCUUCCUGCCAGUAAAAAGACAUGAAUGUUGAUUCAGGUAGUCAGAUAACUCACCCUUCUUUGUCUUGGGUGGUAAAAAUGUCAUUGAAUUCAAAAUCAAACCUCUUUAAUCUAAUUAUCAUUUUCUUAUUAUAGCAAAACCUUAUUUGAAUGAACCCCAAAUAAUGGAACUUAUAAAUUAUUAUGGAAACCAUUCUAUUUCUCCCUCAUUGAGAAGCAAGGGAAGAGCAAGCAAUUUGAAAUCUGAGGCCUUCAAAAGGUACAUCACUAUUGUUCCAUCCUCUGAAAUUCUAUUCUACUAAUUAUCUG